AAGGAAUAUUGGUCAAUGGACGCAAGUCUGAACCAGCCAUGCCGCGUGAAGGAUGAAGGUCCUCUGGAUUGUAAACUUCUUUUAUCUGGGACGAAAACGGGAUUUUUAUCUCAAUUGACGGUACCAGAGGAAUAAGCACCGGCUAACUCCGUGCCAGCAGCCGCGGUAAUACGGAGGGUGCGAGCGUUAUCCGGAUUUACUGGGUUUAAAGGGUGCGUAGGUGGGCUUAUAAGUCAGUGGUGAAAUCUCCGAGCUUAACUUGGAAACUGCCGUUGAUACUAUAUGUCUUGAAUAUUGUGGAGGUGAACGGAAUAUGUCAUGUAGCGGUGAAAUGCAUAGAUAUGACAUAGAACACCGAUUGCGGAGGCAGCUUGCUACGCAAAUAUUGACGCUGAGGCACGAAAGCGUGGGGAUCAAACA
rnacentral:rRNA from 1 species